rnacentral:rRNA from 1 species
CCCUUAGAUGUUCUGGGCUGCACGCGUGUUACAAUCGGGAGUACAACAAGAUUGCAAAUCCUAGUGGAUGAGUGGUUCUUCGAAAUUUUCUGAAGACUGGGAUAGUUGAUUGAAAUUAUUCAACUCAAACGAGGAAUUCCUUGCAAUUGUAAUUCAUUAUAUUGUAAUGAAUACGUCCCUGCCCUUUGUACACACCGCCCGUCGCUCCUACCGAUUGAACGAUCCGGUGAAUUAUUUGGAGUAGCUCUGGAAGUUGCAGAACUUCCUAUGUCACGAAAUUUUGUAAACCUUAUCGUUUAGAGGAAGGAAAAGUCGUAACA